UGCUUUUUUGUUUCUUACUAGGCUGUGACUCCCAAGAUUGUGCGGGAUGUCUGCUCUAAAUACAUCUAUGACAAAUGCCCAGCUGUGUCUGCAGUUGGUCCAAUAGAGCAGGUGCCAGAUUAUAACAGAAUGAGAAGUGCUAUGUACUGGCUCCGAUUUUAAAUGUUCCUUGGGCUGUCAGCCCUCGUUGAUGUGAUGUCUCCAUUUGCAACUUUUGUCCUCUCAUCAUUUUCGUACCCUUAUCUUGUAUGAAUUUGAUGAUUAGCAUAUUUGCCCACUUAUCUUAGCCAUCUUUUUCCAAGCUGAGAUGGAGAGAGAGAGAGGAGAAUUCGGUACAUUUACACCUAGAAUGUCAGACAUGGCACAGAGCUAUUUAUGAAUAUAUGUGAUGUCCAUUUUGUAUAUAGCAAUAGCUUUCAUUCCGACUUCAAAUAAAACCCUGUCACAUCAA